GGCAAGAGGCAACAUGGGAAGUAAGAAUGAAGUGGAAAAACACCACAGUGAAUCUUUAAUUUAACAGGGCUUUCAGGGACUUCGGGGAGCCAUGAACAUUGUGACAUAACUGUUGUUAAGAACCCUUUUCCAGAAUCUCGUUAUUAUAUGCAUGCCAGAAGCUUACAUAUUUCACUUCACUGAAGUUAUCCUCACAGGGCUGUGCGCCACACAGUUGGUUUGGAACACCCGUGCUGAAGGUUGAAUGCUUUUAGGGCAGGCCAACCUAAGGGAAAAAUCGAAACCAAAAGAUGGGAUUAACACUGAAAAGCUCAGUUGGGUUGAGAUCGAACCCCUUGGAAGCUCAGUUUAAAUUGAUUUAAAAUCAGUUAACAAGGCCUGUAGUUUAUUUGUUGCCCUGAGGAAUUCUAGAGCCACACUAGUCUUUGACUUUGAAAGAGUUUUGCCUCUACUCCCUGCUUCAGUCUUAGCUGAUUCACUUUGUGGCAAUUUAGUACCCUUUCUGGAGAUUGAUUCUCGGAUCAGCUUUUCUUACAUGGGCACAGCUCUCCACAGUGAACAAAUGAUGCCCCAUAGCUUAAAAGAGAUGCUGGCUGGGAUAAAAUCUUUUGCCAGAGGGAUGGAAUAAUUAUUUUUUAAACUAAGGGACUUUAAUUUUCCGGUAAAUCGCUCAUAAAAACAUUCAUAAUUAUACCCUCUAAAAAUGUAAUAGAAUAAUUUUAGAAAAAUGCAUUUGAUGAUAUUUAUGAUAACCUUUUCUGUUGCUUUCCUCUUUAUUUUAAAAAGAAUUGAAUUAUUAAUCCAGAAGUCAAGCCCUCCGUGGCUGAAAUCAUUUAUAGCAGAAUCUCUUUAUGUUAGUCACCUGCUGGAAUUUCCCAAAGCCUGCUGGCUUUGUAAGGAGCCCUUGGCUUUGGAGGAAAAAGUCUCUGUUUCUGAUGCUGAAACAUGGAGCCCGUGUGGAAGCCCGGUAACCUAGAGACCUUUCAGCUUGUGUUUCCCAGGCAGCAGAGGUGCUGGUUCCAUACUAGACUCCUAAGUGGGAUGCAGGGAGUUUCGUUGCAAUGGUUUGCCUUUCAGAUGGAAACGUUCUGAGGAUUUUGGGUGACAACAGAGUGAAUCACUUUGGGAAGCAAACUGACGCCUGUCCACCAGAGCUGACCUUUUGAAUGUGUUCUCCAGGCCCGUGGGUUCUCCCUGAGCCAUACUCUCACUUCUGAGUUAAAAUGCACAUUUUCCUCCCAUUUUGGGGAGAUAAUUCUCCUGUUUUUGCCUUGAGGAAGUGGUGGAGUGAUGUUGGAGGGACAGACUGAGCUGAGUGUCACUGCAAAUUCUGUGUGAGUGCCGUGUUCUCUACAGUACAUGCUGCUCUUCUGGAGUGUUCUCCUCCUUUUCCUCCCUGUUCCGAGUCUGCUCGAUGAAUUGUGCCUCUUAGCUUGUGUAGUUCAGCAUCUGCAGAAGCAAAAUACAUCACUACAUUUCAGGUGUCUAGGGAAAGAGUCAUAAUGUGACUGCCCCACUUGCCAAAAAAAUUUUUAUAGAAAAUGCAGCUCUUCUUAUCUGAUAGUUCCUGCGACUCACCCUGUUUGUCCUCCAUGAGUCAGUGUGAGGUGGACAUCAACCACUGCCCCCAGGAGAUUUCUGACCCGUUCAUGCCAGAUCAGCGAUAAGUUCUUCCAGAGCAAGAAGGGCCUGCUUUGAAAGACCUGCAGAUUCUAGGCCACUCACCUAGCAUGUGGAAUGCCUUUUUGAAUAUGGAGACUGUCUUCCCUGCUGAGAAUUUAGGAACAGCCUCUCUCUUUCAUCUAUCAUUUUAAAAAAUGUUUUGUUUUUAAUAUUAUUUUUUUGAAAAAAUCUCAUACACGAUGGGAAGUGUUGGUUUGAAAAUGAGCUGUUAAAUUUUUCACCCAUCUUAUUAAGCUGUAUGUUAAGAAAAGUAAAAUUGAAUAAUUUUGAAUUAAUGUUUCAAAAAAUCUCUUUAUAUAAUCAGUGCUCAAGUGUUGAUUAAUAUGCAGUAAACCAUGAUUUUUCUAUAAGAGUUCUAAGGUAUUACUGAUGAUCUUUUUCUCUUUGGCAAACAGAUUAACAUGAAUUUUUAAAAAUCUUUUUCUUACUAAUAUAUUUUUAAACUGUGCUGAUCCCUUUUUCUACCCUAAAAGAAAAUUGAGGAUGUAACUGACUCUUUUCGGCUGAGGAUCUGAUGGUGCCCUAGGGUCACUGUUCUGAGGGUGAGUUCUGAUUGUACAUUAUAUAGUGCUGGAAGUGGAGAUAGUGUCAGGGGUUGGACUAGAUCUGUCCUGAUCUCAUCUUGGAAAAAAUUUUUUUUAACCCUUGAAAGUAGUAUGUUUUGUUAUUUGCCUCCCUUGUUCUCUUAGUUGCAAGCACCAAAGUAGAAAUUCACUUCAGUUAUUUGGUUCUGGUCAAUUGAGGUUUUUACUUUAUGGGAAAAUUUCAACCCAAGUCUAGAGCCAUUAAUUCUUCCUCUGGAAUUGUAAUGGAUAUAAAAACACUUGCAAAUAUUCAGGCAGGCUGUUGUAUUCACAAGUAAGUUAUGUAUGUUGUAUUAUAGCAUUUUGUGACCACUCCUCUGUGUGAUGGUGGAUAGAAAUGCCAGCUAAUUUUGCCUUUUGCUUAGAUAUGUUCAAGGGGUCUCUUUUGUAAAGGGCUCUCAGUCUGGAAAGUUAGGGAACUCAAGGGUUAAGGAGGCAAACUUUCAAGAACAUCAGUGAAGAAAACUUAGAUUUGCACUCCCUGUCCCCGCACCCAAAAAACCCUUUUUCCAAGCUUAGGCCUUGGUUCCCUGCACCAGUAGGAGAGCAUCCCUGGGCCCACACCGCAGAGGCUGCCUGACUUUCCCAGGCCCGUCCCACGCAACCUGAUGGUAGUCUGCCGUUAUCUUUUGCUAUCUUUGAUGUCGCAGUGUUGGGAAUUCAGCUUGGGAGUCUUGGUGUUCUUUUGCGACAUCUCAAUUAUUUAUUUAUUUUUUGCUUUUGUAGUAAAAAGAUCAAUGAGAUUGUCUAAAGGGAGCCUUAGAAGAAGGGAACAAGGCAUGAUGAGGAAUGCAUGUGCCGAGCUCAUGGUUCAGGCAGGUUUGCUGUUUGCUCCAGUUUUCACAGGUGAAUGGUAAAAGGGAUUACAGGUAACAAUUCCCUUGUGCUGAUGGAAGAACAUUAUUUUUUCCCCCUCACAGAUGUUUAUGGCCUUAACUGACAUGUCAUUAUUGCACACUGUCUUAUCACAUUACAUGCUGUGGCACACUGACAACAUGCGGUGCUGUGGUUUCCUGGUGAUUAUCUUGUCCACAGAGCUGAGGCCCUCGUGGCCAGCUGGGGAGCCCUUCGCCGUGUCCCCUCACAACUGAGAGUAGAGGCGUCCCACAUCCUUGAAAGGGGCAGAAGGCCGGCAGGCUGUCCCAGGUCGGUGCUGUCCCAAUGCUGCUUUCCCUGAAGCUCGGGCAGAGGCUGGAAAUGAGUAGGAACAAUUAUAUUGCAAAGGAUUUGUUGUCUCCCAGCCCCGGAUCUCCUCUAGCGGUGUGAUUGGGCAUUUGAGUUUUGAUAAUGAACUAUCUGAACGUUUUUUGAAAUUAUUAGGAAGCUCCCAGAUCCAUGAAGAGACCAUGAUAGAUGACACUCUUCGGGGUAGAAGGAGGGGUGCUGCUUAGUCUGGGAUCCUCAAGCCUGUAAAAGAGGCAGCGCACUGUUAAAAAUACCUAGCUUACUUCGGGGGAGGACUUGGCUGAAUACUGAUGAAGUUUAUGAAAUAUGAAUGUAGUGAAGUUGCUGUACGUAAGUGGUGGGCGUAUGUGAAAGAAGUAAGACGAAAUAAAAUUGUGUAUAAAUGACACUCUGAAACUUGAUGGAAUUGUGUCCGUGACAAGAAUGGUGGCAUUCGGGUCUGUGCUUAAUGGGGGAAAAGUAAACUGGCUUAAAAUCUAUAUGUCAAGCUAGAUGUGGAAAUAAAAAUUACAGAAUAAGAAAUCAUUUGACUUAUUGUAUAAGCAAAGAAUGCCACCAAGGGUAAACAGGCAGGUUGUAAAGAACAGAGGGGAAGCAGAAUGGGGGACAAAGGAGGGACCGACACUGAAAUUCAUAAUGAAGGCAUACCAAUCACUGUUUUAAAUAAUCCAGAAUAUUAACUAUGUGCUAGGUAGAGAAUUAGGUAUAGCCAAACAAAAGGCAUAAAUAUGAAUUUUAGGUUGUAUUGGGACAAAUCCUCUUGAUCCCCAAAGUGUAAAUGCAUGUACUGAGAAGCAAAGCUGCACACGAUGUAAUUUUUUCUGUCUUAUCCUGAUUAAUUGACAGCCACUGUAUGCCUCUCUCCUGAAGGUGACUUUACAAUCUCCAGACACAGACAUUUCUCUCAGAAGUGGAGUGAAGGAAGGAGAACCACAAGCUAAAGGCAAGGAAAAGAGGAAAAGUUGACACUUUGAGAAGUUACGGUGAACUUGUCGAGAAUGCCAGUUGACAAAGGCAGGUAAGGGAAUGCGUGGAAGAACAGAACAGGACAGGUCUGAAGGGCACGAUGAUCUGCUUCCUGGUGUGUUAAGGAAAUCAGCGGGCAUGUUUAUUGACUAUUCCACUUAGUUUUUAAAGAAACCUGAAGAAGUGGACACAGGCGGAGAAAAGAACACCAGACGUGAUUCUGCCCUUCCAGAAGCAAAGAGGCUUCUGUCACCCCACGCCAUCAACGCCGGUCACGGGGAGGAGUCACUCUGUAGAAGUUAAUGGAUUUUCAACAUACAUAUCACAGAAGAAACAAGGAUAUAUUUAGCAAGUCUAAAAACUCUUCAAUAAACUGCAUUGCUUUUCGUUUUCACUGUACAGUUAUAAAACCGGGGGGUGGUUAAAAAGGCUAUAGUAACAAUAUAGCAUGUACUCUGGGGGACAUUGGUGUGAUAGGGAUAUUCUGUCUGAAAGGACAGGGCAGCUGGGACGGUGAACUGCCCAUAACUCUCAAUUGUCCGGGUAAUGAAGCAUUGGGAGAGCAGAGGCAGAUGAAAUACUUCGAUAAUCAAAACUGAUUCUCCUUUCAGUGAUCAUGCUAGUUGACUGAUGAUGACAAGUGUGAAAUUGCCAGCAGUGUAUUUUACCAUUUCUGGCACUUGCAAACCACUGCUGAUGAACACGUUUAUGCAGAAAGUGGACAGUUUCUCCAGACUGGGCUGUCAACCCAGAAUAUGUAAAAUUUCGCAGUGUGGAGGAUGAAGGUUGGAGAUGAGUGAGGUGCUACAACUUCCUGGAGGCCCCGCAGAGAAUCCGUAAGAGCACUGACGCUACUCUGAAAGGGCUCUGGAAAUCUCUAAAGCUCACAUUCUGAUCUUGAGCUUGGGGUGUGUAUGUCACAUACGGGGUGCGUACUCUCUGUAUGUGAUACAUAGAUAGUAGAUGUAGAUAGAAAUAGAUACGGAUGCUGCCGCUGCUCAUGCUUCAUUAGAAUAAAGCCUGGUAGAGCCAGAAGAGGCCUGUGAAGCAUCUGGCCUAACCUCACGGUUAAACUGACUCUCAGAGAUCUUAAUAAUGUGUGUGUGAGGGCCCAGUCCUGGUAUGUGACUGGAACACUAGUCUUCCACCUUCCUUCCUAAAAUCGUUCCUCCCACUUGUAUGUUCUGCCGGGAUGCUCAGAAGUUCCAGCAAGGUAUAGAGUCAAGUUCCUGCCUCCUAGGAAACCCCCGCUGAGGAUAUUCGGAUGUACACAAGUUAAUUCAGCAUUAGGGAGUGGAUAUGUAUGAAAGUAAGUGCCAGGUAUUUUGGCUAUUCAUCAAUAGUGAAACAUUGUCAGUAAUUAUUAUU